rnacentral:rRNA from 1 species
AUGGUGAUACAAGCCUCUCAGCCGUCCUCCGCGGAUCCAACAGAUGCCAGGGGCGAACCUGCCUCUCAGCCUGAAAAGUCAAAGGUUGAGGAGGAGUUGAAGAAAGCAGCUGCACAUCGGUCUCGGCCUAGCUGCUAUUAUUACUAUUACUUCAAUGAAGGAGAUCCUCAGAAUUAUUCUGAUGAUUUGGAGAUGGAGAUGGAACAAGGACUAUUACCGCUUGUUAAUUUCCCGGAUAAACAGGUUCAGUUCGAGGAGUGGAAGAUAGAAGCACAACAGUUUGAGACUGAUUUUGGCGAGAUGGAAAUGAAGAUUCAUAGGUUCCCUGCAAGCAUGCGGAGCCUUGGACGGCGUUACAUCGUCCCAAUGGCCGUGAGCAUCGGUCUUUACCACCACGGCUCAAGUAGCCUGCAUGAGAUGGAGAAGGUGAAGCGCGUGGCUACACUCCACUUCAUCAGUUACUCGAUCAGGCCGCUCAUUUGA